UUUAUCCUAGGUGAUGGAGCUCACCUUUAACUAUUGCAAGGAAGGCAAUUGAUGGCUCCUGCUAUAAC
rnacentral:ncRNA from 1 species